rnacentral:rRNA from 1 species
UACGAAGGGUGCAAGCGUUACUCGGAAUUACUGGGCGUAAAGCGUGCGUAGGUGGUUUGUUAAGUCUGUUGUGUAAGCCCCGGGCUCAACCUGGGAAUGGCAAUGGAUACUGGCAAGCUAGAGUGCGGUAGAGGGUGGUGGAAUUCCGGGUGUAGUGGUGAAAUGCGUAGAUAUCCGGAGGAACACCAGUGGCGAAAGCGGCCACCUGGACUGUACCUGACGCUGAAACGCGAAAGCUAGGGGAGCGAACGGG